rnacentral:rRNA from 1 species
CAUCGCCUUCUGCAAACCCCAAUGUAUAGGAGGUCCAGCCUGCCCAGUGACUACAAGUUUAACGGCCGCGGUAUUUUGACCGUGCAAAGGUAGCGCAAUCACUUGUCUUUUAAAUGAAGACCUGUAUGAAUGGCUAAACGAGGGCUUAGCUGUCUCCCUUUUCAAGUCAGUGAAAUUGAUCUGCCCGUGCAGAAGCGGGCAUAAGAAUACAAGACGAGAAGACCCUUUGGAGCUUAAGGCGCAGGCCCAACUACGUUAAGCAACUUAUUGAAUAAGUCUUGAACAUAGUAGGAUGUGGGACCUUGCCUUCGGUUGGGGCGACCAUGGAGAACAAAAAAUCCUCCAAGUGGACUGGGAAAUAUCCUAAAACCAAGAAGAACAUUUCUAGGUCACAGAAAUUCUGACCAAUUAUGAUCCGGCCCCCUGGCCGAUCAACGAACCAAGUUACCCUAGGGAUAACAGCGCAAUCCCCUCCAAGAGUUCAUAUCGACGAGAGGGUUUACGACCUCGAUGUUGGAUCAGGACAUCCUAAUGGUGCAGCCGCUAUUAAGGGUUCGUUUGUUCAACGAUUAAAGUCCUACGUGAUCUGAGUUC